rnacentral:tRNA from 1 species
UCCCCGGUGGUGUAAUGGCAACACACUUGACUGUUAAUCAAGGUUUGGAGGUUCGAGUCCUCCCCGGGGAG